UGGUAGAUGCACCCUGAUGAUUCACCCCUGACGAUUUGGUCGGGGGUUUUUUGU
rnacentral:sRNA from 1 species